GAUGAACGCUGGCGGCGUGCCUAAUACAUGCAAGUCGAGCGAACAGACGAGGAGCUUGCUCCUCUGACGUUAGCGGCGGACGGGUGAGUAACACGUGGAUAACCUACCUAUAAGACUGGGAUAACUUCGGGAAACCGGAGCUAAUACCGGAUAAUAUAUUGAACCGCAUGGUUCAAUAGUGAAAGACGGCUUUGCUGUCACUUAUAGAUGGAUCCGCGCCGCAUUAGCUAGUUGGUAAGGUAACGGCUUACUAAGGCAACGAUGCGUAGCCGACCUGAGAGGGUGAUCGGCCACACUGGAACUGAGACACGGUCCAGACUCCUACGGGAGGCAGCAGUAGGGAAUCUUCCGCAAUGGGCGAAAGCCUGACGGAGCAACGCCGCGUGAGUGAUGAAGGUCUUCGGAUCGUAAAACUCUGUUAUUAGGGAAGAACAAAUGUGUAAGUAACUAUGCACGUCUUGACGGUACCUAAUCAGAAAGCCACGGCUAACUACGUG
rnacentral:rRNA from 1 species